rnacentral:rRNA from 1 species
GAUGAACGCUGGCGGCGUGCCUAAUACAUGCAAGUCGAGCGAAUGGAUUAAGAGCUUGCUCUUAUGAAGUUAGCGGCGGACGGGUGAGUAACACGUGGGUAACCUGCCCAUAAGACUGGGAUAACUCCGGGAAACCGGGGCUAAUACCGGAUAACAUUUUGAACCGCAUGGUUCGAAAUUGAAAGGCGGCUUCGGCUGUCACUUAUGGAUGGACCCGCGUCGCAUUAGCUAGUUGGUGAGGUAACGGCUCACCAAGGCAACGAUGCGUAGCCGACCUGAGAGGGUGAUCGGCCACACUGGGACUGAGACACGGCCCAGACUCCGACGGGAGGCAGCAGUAGGGAAGCUUCCGCAAGGGACGAAAGUCUGACGGAGCAACGCCGCGUGAGUGAUGAAGGCUUUCGGGUCGUAAAACUCUGUUGUUAGGGAAGAACAAGUACCGGAGUAACUGCCGGUACCUUGACGGUACCUAACCAGAAAGCCACGGCUAACUACGUGCCAGCCGCCGCCAUAA